rnacentral:rRNA from 1 species
UGGGGAAUUUUGGACAAUGGGCGAAAGCCUGAUCCAGCAAUGCCGCGUGUGUGAAGAAGGCCCUCGGGUUGUAAAGCACUUUUGUCCGGAAAGAAAUCCUUGGCUCUAAUACAGUCGGGGGAUGACGGUACCGGAAGAAUAAGCACCGGCUAACUACGUGCCAGCAGCCGCGGUAAUACGUAGGGUGCAAGCGUUAAUCGGAAUUACUGGGCGUAAAGCGUGCGCAGGCGGUUUGCUAAGACCGAUGUGAAAUCCCCGGGCUCAACCUGGGAACUGCAUUGGUGACUGGCAGGCUAGAGUAUGGCAGAGGGGGGUAGAAUUCCACGUGUAGCAGUGAAAUGCGUAGAGAUGUGGAGGAAUACCGAUGGCGAAGGCAGCCCCCUGGGCCAAUACUGACGCUCAUGCACGAAAGCGUGGGGAGCAAAACAGGAUUAGAUACCCUGGUAGUCCACGCCCUAAAACGAUGUCAACUAGUUGUUGGGGAUUCAUUUCCUUAGUAACGUAGCUAACGCGUGAAGUUGACCGCCUGGGGAGUACGGUCGCAAGAUUAAAACUCAAAGGAAUUGACGGGGUCAUAGCUGUUUCCU